rnacentral:rRNA from 1 species
GCAUGGUCUUAGCUUGCUAAGACUGAUGGCGACCGGCGCACGGGUGAGUAACACGUAUCCAACCUGCCGUCUACUCUUGGCCAGCCUUCUGAAAGGAAGAUUAAUCCAGGAUGGCAUCAUGAGUUCACAUGUCCGCAUGAUUAAAGGUAUUUUCCGGUAGACGAUGGGGAUGCGUUCCAUUAGAUAGUAGGCGGGGUAACGGCCCACCUAGUCAACGAUGGAUAGGGGUUCUGAGAGGAAGGUCCCCCACAUUGGAACUGAGACACGGUCCAAACUCCUACGGGAGGCAGCAGUGAGGAAUAUUGGUCAAUGGGCGAUGGCCUGAACCAGCCAAGUAGCGUGAAGGAUGACUGCCCUAUGGGUUGUAAACUUCUUUUAUAAAGGAAUAAAGUCGGGUAUGCAUACCCGUUUGCAUGUACUUCAUGAAUAAGGAUCGGCUAACUCCGUGCCAGCAGCCGCGGUAAUACGGAGGAUCCGAGCGUUAUCCGGAUUUAUUGGGUUUAAAGGGAGCGUAGAUGGAUGUUUAAGUCAGUUGUGAAAGUUUGCGGCUCAACCGUAAAAUUGCAGUUGAUACUGGAUGUCUUGAGUGCAGUUGAGGCAGGCGGAAUUCGUGGUGUAGCGGUGAAAUGCUUAGAUAUCACGAAGAACU